rnacentral:rRNA from 1 species
ACGAACGCUGGCGGCGUGCCUAACACAUGCAAGUCGAACGUGAAAGUCCUUCGGGAUGAGUAAAGUGGCGGACGGGUGAGUAAUAAAUAGGAACGUACCUAUAGGAGGGGAAUAGCCACGGGAAACUGUGGAUAAUACCGCGUAAUAUCGCAAGAUCAAAGAGGGCCUCUGCUUGCAAGCUCUCGCCUAUAGAGCGGCCUAUUUCCCAUUAGCUAGUUGGCGGGGUAAGAGCCCACCAAGGCUACGAUGGGUAGCUGGUCUGAGAGGAUGAUCAGCCACACUGGAACUGAGACACGGUCCAGACUCCUACGGGAGGCAGCAGUGGGGAAUCUUGCACAAUGGGCGCAAGCCUGAUGCAGCAACGCCGCGUGAGUGAAGAAGGUCCUUGGAUUGUAAAGCUCUUUCGGCCGGGAAGAGGGGCCUCUCAAUUAAGAUGUGAGUGGUCUGACGGUACCGGCAUAAGAAGCACUGGCUAAUUCCGU